GUAUCCUUGCUCAGGAUGAACGCUAGCUACAGGCUUAACACAUGCAAGUCGAGGGGCGAGCAUGGUCUUAGCUUGCUAAGGCUGAUGGCGACCGGCGCACGGGUGAGUAACACGUAUCCAACCUGCCGUCUACUCUUGGCCAGCCUUCUGAAAGGAAGAUUAAUCCAGGAUGGGAUCAUGAGUUCACAUGUCCGCAUGAUUAAAGGUAUUUUCCGGUAGACGAUGGGG
rnacentral:rRNA from 1 species